GCCGAUGUGGCGGAACUGGCAGACGCGCUGCGUUCAGGGCGCAGUGGGCAAUGGCCCGUGGGGGUUCGAAUCCCUCCAUCGGCA
rnacentral:tRNA from 1 species